AAACUGUGCUUGCACAGCCUAGCCAAGGCGGACGGGUGAGUAACGCGUAAGGAACUUGCCCUGCAGUCAGGGAUAACAGACGGAAACGACUGAUAAGACCUGGUAAAGUCAGGCGGACUCAUGUCCAGCCUGAUGAAAAGAGAUGCUGCAGGAGAGCCUUGCGUCCUAUUAGCUUGUUGGUGGGGUAACGGCCCACCAAGGCGAUGAUAGGUAGCCGGCCUGAGAGGGUGGACGGCCACAAGGGGACUGAGAUACGGCCCUUACUCCUACGGGAGGCAGCAGUGGGGAAUAUUGGACAAUGGGGGCAACCCUGAUCCAGCAAUUCUGUGUGCACGAUGAAGGUUUUCGGAUUGUAAAGUGCUUUCAGCAGGGAAGAAAAAAAUGACGGUACCUGCAGAAGAAGCGACGGCUAAAUACGUGCCAGCAGCCGCGGUAAUACGUAUGUCGCAAGCGUUAUCCGGAAUUAUUGGGCAUAAAGGGCAUCUAGGCGGCCAGAUAAGUCUGGGGUGAAAACUUGCGGCUCAACCGCAAGCCUGCCCUGGAAACUAUGUGGCUAGAGUACUGGAGAGGUGGACGGAACUGCACGAGGAGAGGUGAAAUUCGUAGAUAUGUGCAGGAAUGCCGAUGAUGAAGAUAGUUCACUGGACGGUAACUGACGCUGAAGUGCGAAAGCUAGGGGAGCAAACAGGAUUAGAUACCCUGGUAGUCCUAGCUGUAAACGAUGAUUACUGGGUGUGGGCAUGAAGAGUGUCCGUGCCGAA
rnacentral:rRNA from 1 species